AGAGAGAGAGAGAGAGAGAGAGAGAGCAUUCACAUGAUGAUACAUUAAGUGAUGGUCAGUUGUCGGUACCACUACAAUUAAUGGGUUUCUUUUUGGUCUUGAAAACCAGCAAAGCAUCUCGACACAAGGGAAGAGAUAAAGUUGAAGCGCGGAGGGCAAGCGACAGCGUUCCGUUUCCGGGGAUUGGUGGGUGACCCUAAUCUGCCUGCUCCACCUCCUUCCACGGCACGGCGAUAAAGUGAUUGGUGGGAACAUGCUCCUCGAGAAGUAAGACCAUGCCGACUUAGGUUUUCCAUUAUCCAACUGUUUCACUGUAGGACCGCUAAUCUCCAUUUGAUCUUUUUCAUCGGUUGAGUUGUCAUCAUCUCAGUUGCUGUUCUUUGAAAUGCAGCAAGAUGCUUUAAGAUCUUUCAGGUGUCCACCAUGUUCUAUUGUAGCCAAAGCAUAAUAGCCACACCAUCGCAAGCUUUAGAUCUCAAAAAUUUUGAUGACCUAACAGUACGGUUGAAACGGUGGUGAGAUAUACAAUCAUUGUAUAAACAGAUGGCAGGAGAAAUGCAUGUACAUCUUCUAGUGCCAGACAGGUAUAUAUGCUUCAUUCACCAUGGUGGCUGCUGCUGCAAGAUUGAUGCCCAGGUGUUAUAUGCUUCACCAUGGUGCCUACAGCUAUAAAGACUAAUGUCCAGGGUUUUGGAUUCUCCAAUUUUCCAUCAUGCUCGGGUGGUUGACUCAGAUAACCAGAUGUUGACGGAUUUGCCUGCCCUCCAUUGUGGUACAGAAGGAUUGGAAAUCCUGCCUUCCACUAAGUCUUGUCACAAUCUCAAAGUCACCAAAUCCUGCACGAACCUCGAAGCAUGAUGGAUGUUGAUCAUGUAUCAGUAUCAGGAUGGACAUGCUGGAGGACCCUAACUCAGUGACAAAAGCCAUCUUCAAGCUGCUUGGUUUAGGACCUGGCGGUCUUGCUAUUAGUCUGCUGCACUCAUUGGCUGAAACCCCCCAACUGUUGAUGGAUUGUUGCAGACUGAUAUAUAAUAGCUUGGAAGAUUGGCUUCUUCUCUGUGAUGUACCUCCUUCAAAACAAGAAGUUUCAGGUUUGUCUCCUCUUUUGGUUCCUGUCUUAGCGGCGAUGCAAAACGAACGAUCUUGAUGAACAUGCAUCACGUAGUGAACUGUGUGGUUUGUAAUGAUGUGGUCUCUCGUAGGUUUGAUGUGAUGAGAUUGAGAUUUAUGGGACUUUUGAGUGACCAUAUAUCAUAUUUAUUAUAAAAGUAAAAUAUAUUACGUAUUAUAUAUAGCAGUGGAGUUUCUCACAUAUAUGUAUGUACUUCUUUGCAUAUGGGACCCUCAACGAGUGAUUACCUCCUCCGUUAACAAGGGAGGUAGGAGAACGGGUAGCCCUGAAAGGUAGGAAAAAAAUUGUUCUCGUCAGAAGAAAGGUUGAUUAUACUCACCUCACGGAGGAAGAAUAACAACGCCACUGCUUCUUCGAUACCACUUCACUACUGCCUUACGAGAGGCGAGAGGUAAGUUCACCAGCGAUGGUAAUGUGGCGCGGCGGUUUCGAAGUUUGCCGCCAUGGAUUCAGGUUCUGAUCACUCGUGGUGAGUGCAAGACACGAGAAUUUGAAUUGACUAGUUGCCAUCUUAAUGUUUUUUGUGCUCUUAUCGCCCGACUUAUGAGCGGUAAGUUCACCGAGAGACCGUAACGUCAUGUUCUCUUCCAACGUCGGUGCCUAUUUAAGUGGAAACAGUCCAAGCUUUUCUUGGCAUCUUCGCGGCGUUCGGGUGUUACGAAGGACAAAGAGAGGGGUGUUUUCUUCUUCUUCCUGAAAUUCUUGGAAGGAUCGGCGAGUCGUCCUUUGUUUCUUCUAUGUUUCCUCCCCCUCCUUUGCACGUAUCGAGAUCUGCGUAGGCUUUCUUCGUCUUGGAUGCUGAUCUGGUAAGUUUUCUCGAGCCGAUGGUUUUCCCGGAUGAAAUUAUCCUGUUGGACUUUUCUGAGAACGAAGUUGGGUUGAAGUUAAUUGGUUUUCAGAUCGGAAUCUUGUUAUAAGCUCUAUAUGGUUCGCAUCUGGAUGACGAAGUUGUAUUUAAGCUAAUUGGUUUUGAGAUCGAGAAUAUUCCUAGAUCUUUUGGUGUCUUCUUCUCUUCCUCGAGUUUCUUGGGAGGAUCGGCGAGUCGUCCAUUGUUUCGUAUGUUUCUCUCCCCCUCUUUGCUCGUAUGGAGAUCUGCGUAGGUUUUCCCGGAUGAAUUGAUCCUGUCGGCUUUUUCUGAGAACGAAGUUGGAUUUAAUAAGCUUGGUUUUCAGAUCGGAAUCUUGUUAUAAGUUUUAUAUGGUUCGCAUCUGGAUGAAGAAUUUGGAUUUAAGCUGAUUGGUUUUGAGAUCGAGAAUCUUGUCUUGAGCGAUAUAUGGUUCGCAUCUGAUGCAAUCGGCGCUGUU